rnacentral:rRNA from 1 species
UACGGAGGGUGCAAGCGUUAUCCGGAUUUACUGGGUUUAAAGGGUACGUAGGCGGGCCUAUAAGUCAGUGGUGAAAUCCUGCGGCUCAACCGUAGCAUUGCCAUUGAAACUGUAGGUCUUGAGUUAGAUUGGGGUAAGCGGAAUGUAGCAUGUAGCGGUGAAAUGCAUAGAUAUGCUACAGAACACCGAUAGCGAAGGCA